UAAUACCAGCUCCCCGAGUGGUCGGGACGAUUAUUGGGCCUAAAGCGUCCGUAGCCGGUUCGGUAAGUCCCUCGUUAAAUCCAAUGGUUCAACCGUUGGGCUGCGGGGGAUACUGCCGGGCUAGGGGGUGGGAGAGGCCGGCGGUAUUCCGUGGGUAGGGGUAAAAUCCUCUGAUCCACGGAGGACCACCAGUGGCGAAGGCGGCCGGCCAGAACGCGCCCGACGGUGAGGGAUGAAAGCUGGGGGAGCGAACCGGAUUAGAUACCCGGGUAGUCCCAGCUGUAAACGAUGCGAGCUAGGCAUUAGAUCGGCUGCGAGCCGAUCUAGUGUCGCAGGGAAGCCGUUAAGCUCGCCGCCUGGGGAGUACGGCCGCAAGGCUG
rnacentral:rRNA from 1 species